ACAUAAUAUCUACAGAGACCUGACGGAGCGACGCCUCGUGAUGGAUGAAGUGCCUUGGUACGUAAACAUCUUUUAUCGGAGGACGAAGUUUAUUGACGGUACCCGAUGAAUAAGGGGCUCCUAACUCUGUGCCAGCACGAGCGGUAAUACAGAGGCCCCAACCGUUACCCGGAAUCACUGGGCGUAAAGGGUGUCUAGGCUGGCCAUAUUACUCUUUCGUUAAAUCCGGGGGCUUAACCUGCGGCCGGCGAACGAAACGGUAUGGCUCGAGGGCGCGAGAGGUGCACGGAACUCGUGGUGGAGGGGUGAAAUCCAUUGAUACCAUGAUGAACACCAAAGGCGAAAGCAGUGCACUGGUGCGUUCCUGACGCUCAAACACGAAAGCCAGGGGAGCGAAUACGAUUACAUACCCUCGUAGUCCUGGCCCUCAACGAUGCUCGCUCGUUUUACGGAGUAUCGACCCUCUGUGAGACUAAUCUAACGCGGUAAGCGAGCCGCCUGGGUAGUACGAUCGCAAGAU
rnacentral:rRNA from 1 species